UGACGAGUGGCGGACGGGUGAGUAAUGUCUGGGAAACUGCCUGAUGGAGGGGGAUAACUACUGGAAACGGUAGCUAAUACCGCAUAACGUCGCAAGACCAAAGAGGGGGACCUUCGGGCCUCUUGCCAUCGGAUGUGCCCAGAUGGGAUUAGCUAGUAGGUGGGGUAACGGCUCACCUAGGCGACGAUCCCUAGCUGGUCUGAGAGGAUGACCAGCCACACUGGAACUGAGACACGGUCCAGACUCCUACGGGAGGCAGCAGUGGGGAAUAUUGCACAAUGGGCGCAAGCCUGAUGCAGCCAUGCCGCGUGUAUGAAGAAGGCCUUCGGGUUGUAAAGUACUUUCAGCGGGGAGGAAGGCGAUGAGGUUAAUAACCUUGUCGAUUGACGUUACCCGCAGAAGAAGCACCGGCUAACUCCGUGCCAGCAGCCGCGGUAAUACGGAGGGUGCAAGCGUUAAUCGGAAUUACUGGGCGUAAAGCGCACGCAGGCGGUCUGUCAAGUCGGAUGUGAAAUCCCCGGGCUCAACCUGGGAACUGCAUUCGAAACUGGCAGGCUAGAGUCUUGUAGAGGGGGGUAGAAUUCCAGGUGUAGCGGUGAAAUGCGUA
rnacentral:rRNA from 1 species